rnacentral:rRNA from 1 species
UAAGGAAUAUUGGUCAAUGGACGCAAGUCUGAACCAGCCAUGCCGCGUGAAGGAUGAAGGUCCUCUGGAUUGUAAACUUCUUUUAUAGGGGACGAAAUCUAUAUUUCUAUGUAGUCUGACGGUACCCUAGGAAUAAGCACCGGCUAACUCCGUGCCAGCAGCCGCGGUAAUACGGAGGGUGCAAGCGUUAUCCGGAUUCACUGGGUUUAAAGGGUGCGUAGGAGGGCAGGUAAGUCAGUGGUGAAAUCUUUGGGCUUAACCCGAAAACUGCCAUUGAUACUAUCUGUCUUGAAUGCGGUGGAGGUGAGCGGAAUAUGUCAUGUAGCGGUGAAAUGCUUAGAUAUGACAUAGAACACCGAUUGCGAAGGCAGCUCGCUACGCCUGCAUUGACUCUGAGGCACGAAAGCGUGGGGAUCAAACA